rnacentral:rRNA from 1 species
UACGGGGGGGGGCAAGCGUUGUUCGGAAUUACUGGGCGUAAAGGGCUCGUAGGUGGCCAACUAAGUCAGACGUGAAAUCCCUCAGCUUAACUGGGGAACUGCGUCUGAUACUGGAUGGCUUGAGUUUGGGAGAGGGAUGCGGAAUUCCAGGUGUAGCGGUGAAAUGCGUAGAUAUCUGGAGGAACACCGGUGGCGAAGGCGGUUCUCUGGGCCUUACCUGACGCUGAGGAGCGAAAGCGUGGGGAGCGAACAGG